rnacentral:rRNA from 1 species
UGGGGAAUAUUGCGCAAUGGGCGAAAGCCUGACGCAGCGACGCCGCGUGAGGGAUGAAGGCCUUCGGGUUGUAAACCUCUUUCAGCAGGGACGAAGCGAAAGUGACGGUACCUGCAGAAGAAGCACCGGCUAACUACGUGCCAGCAGCCGCGGUAAUACGUAGGGUGCAAGCGUUGUCCGGAUUUAUUGGGCGUAAAGAGCUCGUAGGCGGUCUGUCGCGUCGGAUGUGAAAACCCAGGGCUCAACCCUGGGCCUGCAUUCGAUACGGGCAGACUAGAGUAUGGCAGGGGAGACUGGAAUUCCUGGUGUAGCGGUGAAAUGCGCAGAUAUCAGGAGGAACACCGGUGGCGAAGGCGGGUCUCUGGGCCAAAACUGACGCUGAGGAGCGAAAGCGUGGGGAGCGAACAG